AUAAAGCUUUAGAUCCUUAUGAAGAUACUAAGUAAAUUCGUACAUUGCUUGGGAUUUCUCCAUACUGCAAGGGAAAAUAAGCACGAUAAUCAUGAAUUUAUUUGGAUGUUUCAAAACAGUCCUUGGAUUUUUUGUAAAUUAAGCAACAGUCCAUGUACUUUCACUUUUUUCAUAACAGGCCCAAACUUUUUUGGAAGUUGUGGAAUGACCUAUGGAUUUUGCAUAAAAGUGUCAAUUUCUCUUAAGAUUAGCAGAUGAUUAUUGACCUUUUGUGUAAAUUCUCAAAUAGCUCAAAUUCUUUAAAACUAAGAAAUCUUUAAGAAACAGAAGGAAAAAGGUCAAAUAUUGGGAAAAAAUGUCUAUUUCUAUGGAUAUGAUAUGACAAUGUAGAAAGUAUAUCUAUCUUGUUACAAGACAUUGGGUUUUGUGUGGAGCACACAAGUUCUACUGGACAGAAAACAGUAAGUUCAUGUCUUAUAAUUUUUUAUUUUUCUCAUUAUGUAAGGUUUAAAUAAAUAAUGUUUAAAACUUUUGGGAGAAAAGAAACACUUUAUAUAUAAUAUAUAACUUACUGGAUUAAGUCAUACUUUCUGUGUUUGUUUUCAUAUAGCUUAUCUUGCCCUACAGGUGAUACGAGUCUAACCAAGGUAAUUUCUGCACAGUCAUGGCUGGCAACUACACACUUGUAUGGGACAAUUCGUAUUCAACCUUUUUCAAGAAGGCUCUUCGCUACAAAGUGGAUUGUAUUCCACCUGUUGUAGAACCAGUGCCCUCAAUUGAAUCGGAAGAUGAAGAGGGGAUAACUUGAUGUG